CCCUUAGAUGUUCUGGGCUGCACGCGCGCUACACUGAUACUUUCAGCGAGUCCACCACCUUGCCUGGGAAGGUGGGGUAACCUCUGGAAAGUGCAUCGUGAUGGGGAUCGAUUAUUGUAAUUAUUAAUCUUCAACGAGGAAUUCCUAGUAAGCAUGUGUCAUCAGCCCGUGCUGAUUACGUCCCUGCCCUUUGUACACACCGCCCGUCGCUCCUACCGAUUGAAUGUUCCGGUGAGCUCUUCGGACUGCGCGGUCUGCAGUUUCUGCGUUCCGUGCGGAAAGUUGCGCAAACCUUAACAUUUAGAGGAAGGAGAAGUCGUAACA
rnacentral:rRNA from 1 species